AGCAGCCGCGGUAAUUCCAGCUCCAAUAGCGUAUAUUAAAGUUGUUGCAGUUAAAAAGCUCGUAGUUGAAUUUCGGGAUCAAAGGAUCGGUCAUGCCUUGGCAUGUACUGGUUUUAUUGGUUCUCACCUUCUAAAGAACCAUAAUGUCAUUCAUUUGAUGUUAUGGGGAAUUAGGACUGUUACCUUGAAAAAAUUAGAGUGUUUAAAGCAGGCUUACGCUUGAAUACAUUAGCAUGGAAUAAUGAAAUAGGACGUUUGAUUCUAUUUUGUUGGUUUCUAGGAUCGACGUAAUGAUUAAUAGGGAUAGUUGGGGGCAUUAGUAUUCAAUUGUCAGAGGUGAAAUUCUUGGAUUUAUUGAAGACUAACUACUGCGAAAGCAUUUGCCAAGGAUGUUUUCAUUAAUCAAGAACGAAAGUUAGGGGAUCGAAGACGAUCAGAUACCGUCGUAGU
rnacentral:rRNA from 1 species